AUUGAACGCUGGCGGCAGGCCUAACACAUGCAAGUCGAACGGUAACAGAAAGCAGCUUGCUGCUUUGCUGACGAGUGGCGGACGGGUGAGUAAUGCCUGGGAAACUGCCUGAUGGAGGGGGAUAACUACUGGAAACGGUAGCUAAUACCGCAUAACGUCGCAAGACCAAAGAGGGGGACCUUCGGGCCUCUUGCCAUCGGAUGUGCCCAGAUGGGAUUAGCUAGUAGGUGGGGUAACGGCUCACCUAGGCGACGAUCCCUAGCUGGUCUGAGAGGAUGACCAGCCACACUGGAACUGAGACACGGUCCAGACUCCUACGGGAGGCAGCAGUGGGGAAUAUUGCACAAUGGGCGCAAGACUGAUGCAGCCAUGCCGAGUGUAUGAAGAAGGCCUUCGGGUUGUAAAGUACUUUCAGCGGGGAGGAAGGGAGUAAAGUUAAUACCUUUGCUCAUUGACGUUACCCGCAGAAGAAGCACCGGCUAACUCCGUG
rnacentral:rRNA from 1 species